rnacentral:rRNA from 1 species
CCUACGGGAGGCAGCAGUGAGGAAUAUUGGUCAAUGGGCUUACGCCUGAACCAGCCAAGUCGCGUGAGGGAAGACUGCCCUAUGGGUUGUAAACCUCUUUUGUCAGGGAGCAACGCCGGCUACGUGUAGCCGACCUGAGAGUACCUGAAGAAAAAGCAUCGGCUAACUCCGUGCCAGCAGCCGCGGUAAUACGGAGGAUGCGGGCGUUAUCCGGAUUUAUUGGGUUUAAAGGGUGCGUAGGCGGAGUGAUAAGUUAGAGGUGAAAUGUCCGAGCUUAACUCGGGACCUGCCUCUAAUACUGUUGAUCUAGAGAGUAGAUGCGGUAGGCGGAAUGUAUGGUGUAGCGGUGAAAUGCUUAGAGAUCAUACAGAACACCGAUUGCGAAGGCAGCUUACCAAUCUAUAUCUGACGUUGAGGCACGAAAGCGUGGGGAGCAAACAGGAUUAGAUACCCCAGUAGUC